rnacentral:rRNA from 1 species
AGCUCCAAUAGCGUAUAUUAAUGUUGUUGCAGUUAAAAAGCUCGUAGUUGGAUUUCUGGUCGGAACGCCUGGCCGGCUCCGCAAGGGGUCGUUGCUGUGGUUUCUCCGUCCAUCCUCAGGGGGAGCUGCGCUGGUAUUCAUUUAUCGGCGUGGUCACGCCUGUCGUUUACUGUGAACAAAUUAGAGUGUUCAAAGCAAGGUGUACUUGAAUACAUUAGCAUGGAAUAAUAAGAUAGGACUUUGGUGGUUCUUUUGAUAUUAAUAGGAGCAGUUGGGGGUAUUCGUAUUCAAUUGUCAGAGGUGAAAAUCUUGGAUUUAUAGAAGACGAACUACUGCGAAAGCAUUUACCAAGGAUGUUUUCA